rnacentral:rRNA from 1 species
AACGAACGCUGGCGGCAUGCCUAACACAUGCAAGUCGAACGAAACCUUCGGGUCUAGUGGCGCACGGGUGCGUAACGCGUGGGAACCUGCCCUUAGGUUCGGAAUAACUCCCCGAAAGGGGUGCUAAUACCGGAUAAUGUCUUCGGACCAAAGAUUUAUCGCCUUUGGAUGGGCCCGCGUUGGAUUAGCUAGUUGGUAGGGUAAAAGCCUACCAAGGCGACGAUCCAUAGCUGGUCUGAGAGGAUGAUCAGCCACACUGGGACUGAGACACGGCCCAGACUCCUACGGGAGGCAGCAGUGGGGAAUAUUGGACGAUGGGCGAAAGCCUGAUCCAGCAAUGCCGCGUGAGUGAUGAAGGCCUUAGGGUUGUAAAGCUCUUUUACCCGGGAUGAUAAUGACAGUACCGGGUGAAUAAGCUCCGGCUAACUCCGUG